rnacentral:rRNA from 1 species
GUGGAUAAGACAUGCAAGUCGAACGGGAGAAUCGUUAGCUUGCUAAUAAUUCUCUAGUGGCGCACGGGUGAGUAACACGUGAGUAACCUGCCUCUUAGUGGGGGAUAGCCCUGGGAAACCGGGAUUAAUACCGCAUACGAUUGAAAGGUCAAAGCAGCAAUGCGCUAGGAGAUGGGCUCGCGGCCUAUUAGUUAGUUGGUGAGGUAACGGCUCACCAAGGCGAUGACGGGUAGCCGGUCUGAGAGGAUGUCCGGCCACACUGGAACUGAGACACGGUCCAGACACCUACGGGUGGCAGCAGUCGGGAAUCAUUCACAAUGGGGGCAACCCUGAUGGUGCGACGCCGCGUGGGGGAAUGAAGGUCUUCGGAUUGUAAACCCCUGUCAUGUGGGAGCAAAUUAAAAAGAUAGUACCACAAGAGGAAGAGACGGCUAACUCUGUGCCAGCAGCCGCGGUAAUACAGAGGUCUCAAGCGUUGUUCGGAAUCACUGGGCGUAAAGCGUGCGUAGGCUGUUUCGUAAGUCGUGUGUGAAAGGCAGGGGCUCAACCCCUGGAUUGCACAUGAUACUGCGAGACUAGAGUAAUGGAGGGGGAACCGGAAUUCUCGGUGUAGCAGUGAAAUGCGUAGAUAUCGAGAGGAACACUCGUGGCGAAGGCGGGUUCCUGGACAUUAACUGACGCUGAGGCACGAAGGCCAGGGGAGCGAAAGGGAUUAGAUACCCCUGUAGUCCUGGCAGUAAACGGUGCACGCUUGGUGUGCGGGGAAUCGACCCCCUGCGUGCCGGAGCUAACGCGUUAAGCGUGCCGCCUGGGGAGUACGGUCGCAAGAUUAAAACUCAAAGAAAUUGACGGGGACCCGCACAAGCGGUGGAGUAUGUGGCUUAAUUCGAUGCAACGCGAAGAACCUUACCUGGGCUUGACAUGUAAUGAACAACAUGUGAAAGCAUGCGACUCUUCGGAGGCGUUACACAGGUGCUGCAUGGCCGUCGUCAGCUCGUGUCGUGAGAUGUUUGGUUAAGUCCAGCAACGAGCGCAACCCCUGUUGCCAGUUACCAGCACGUCAAGGUGGGGACUCUGGCGAGACUGCCCAGAUCAACUGGGAGGAAGGUGGGGACGACGUCAGGUCAGUAUGGCCCUUAUGCCCAGGGCUGCACACGUACUACAAUGCCCAGUACAGAGGGGGCCGAAGCCGCGAGGCGGAGGAAAUCCUGAAAACUGGGCCCAGUUCGGACUGUAGGCUGCAACCCGCCUACACGAAGCCGGAAUCGCUAGUAAUGGCGCAUCAGCUACGGCGCCGUGAAUACGUUCCCGGGUCUUGUACACACCGCCCGUCACAUCAUGGAAGCCGGUCGCACCCGAAGUAUCUGAAGCCAACCGCAAGGAGGCAGGGUCCUAAGGUGAGACUGGUAACUGGGAUGAAGUAG